rnacentral:rRNA from 1 species
UUAUACCGUGAAACUGCGAAUGGCUCAUUAAAUCAGUUAUCGUUUAUUUGAUAGUACCUUACUACUUGGAUACCUGUGGUAAUUCUAGAGCUAAUACAUGCUAAAAACCCCGACUUCGGAAGGGGUGUAUUUAUUAGAUAAAAAACCAAUGCCCUUCGGGGCUCCUUGGUGAUUCAUAAUAACUUCUCAGAUCGCAUGGCCUUGCGCCGGCGACGGUUCAUUCAAAUUUCUGCCCUAUCAACUUUCGAUGGUAAGGUAUUGGCUUACCAUGGUUUCUACGGGUAACGGGGAAUUAGGGUUCGAUUCCGGAGAGUUAGCCUGAGAAACGGCUAACACAUCCAAGGAAGGCAGCAGGCGCGCAAAUUACCCAAUCCUGAUACAGGGAGGUAGUGACAAUAAAUACUGAUACAGGGCUCUUUUGGGUCUUGUAAUCGGAAUGAGUACAAUUUAAACCUCUUAACGAGGAACAAUUGGAGGGCAAGUCUGGUGCCAGCAGCCGCGGUAAUUCCAGCUCCAAUAGCGUAUAUUAAAGUUGUUGCAGUUAAAAAGCUCGUAGUUGAACCUUUGGCCUGGCUGGCAGGUCCGCCUCACCGCGUGCACUUGUCCGGCCGGGCCUUUUCUUCUGGAGAACCGCAUGCCCUUCACUGGGUGUGUUGGGGACCAGGACUUUUACUUUGAAAAAAUUAGAGUGUUCAAAGCAGGCCUUUGCUCGAAUAUUACAGCAUGGAAUAAUAAAAUAGGACGUGCGGUUCUAUUUUGUUGGUUUCUAGGACCGCCGUAAUGAUUAAUAGGGACAGUCGGGGGCAUCAGUAUUCAAUUGUCAGAGGUGAAAUUCUUGGAUUUAUUGAAGACUAACUACUGCGAAAGCAUUUGCCAAGGAUGUUUUCAUUAAUCAGUGAACGAAA